GCGUGCGAUGCAGCUGAGGGACCCACCCGCACC
rnacentral:SRP_RNA from 1 species